rnacentral:rRNA from 1 species
GACGUAGGGCGCGAGCGUUGUCCGGAUUUAUUGGGCGUAAAGAGCUCGUAGGCGGCUCAUUGCGUCAACCGUGAAAACCAGCAGCUCAACUGUUGGCUUGCGGUUGAUACGGGUGGGCUGGAGUUCGGUAGGGGAGACUGGAAUUCCUGGUGUAGCGGUGAAAUGCGCAGAUAUCAGGAGGAACACCGGUGGCGAAGGCGGGUCUCUGGGCCGAUACUGACGCUCAUGCACGAAAGCGUGGGGAGCAAACAGG